GUCUUUUUGAAUUAAAUUUAAAGUCUAACCUGCCCACUGAAAAUUUUAAAUGGCCGCAGUAUUCUAACUGUGCAAAGGUAGCAUAAUCAUUAGUCUUUUAAUUGAAGGCUGGAAUGAAUGGUUGGACGAAAUAUUAACUGUUUCAUUUAAAUUUUUUAUAAAAUUUUAUUUUUUAGUCAAAAAGCUAAAAUAAAUUUAAAAGACGAGAAGACCCUAUAAAUCUUUAUAUUUUGUUUAUUUUAAUUAUAAAGAUUAUUUUUAUUAUAAUAAGUUAAAAUAUUUUAUUGGGGUGAUAUUAAAAUUUAAAAAACUUUUAAUUUUUAAAAACCAUUAAUUUAUGUAUAAUUGAUCCAUUAAUAAUGAUUAAAAAUUUAAGUUACUUUAGGGAUAACAGCGUAAUUUUUUUGGAGAGUUCAUAUCGAUAAAAAAGAUUGCGACCUCGAUGUUGGAUUAAGAUAUAAUUUUGGGUGUAGCCGUUCAAAUUUUAAGUCUGUUCGACUUUUAAAUUCUU
rnacentral:rRNA from 1 species